AAUUUGUCCAGCUCUAUUCACAAACAGUAAAAAUAACGUAAAGAAGAACCAUGCAUGUGAGUUUUAUAUUAAAAAAGUAAAGUAAAUAGUGUGAACAUAUUUAUGCAGAGUUUGGCUGAGAAGCUCUAUACAUGUGACAUGUGUCCAUUUUAGUGUGAAAACAUUUAUUACAAUGCUUAUACACGUAACAUGUGUCCAGCUUAAUAUAAACACAUUAUUACAAUGCUUCUCCUUUAAUAUAUAAAUGAUUCUCCUUUAAUAUAUAAGAGAUAGUUGCCGCCAGCAGUCAGCAGAUCAUCUUCCGUGGACCUCUUGGUAACUGUUUCUUUCUCACCACUCUCAUCUUUUUUUUUUCUCUCUUAGUAACAAAUGUUUGAUGGAACAUUCGGUUUUAAGAGCACCUCCAUCGGUAGUAGUUAGUGGAGGUCCUAAAGUAAUUAAGGCCAAAAAAUAAAUGAAAAAUCGUUUAAUUAGGCAGGAGCGCUCCUCUAUUAAGUGUCUGAAGGAAUGCUUAAGGACCCUUACGUGGCGAGUUUUAAUUUGAUGGCUCAUGUCUCUCUCUCUCUUUCCUCGCGAAAUACUCUUUUCUCUCUUCUUCCUCGAUUCUUUUCUUCGAUCUCUCCAUCUUCUCCGUCAAUUCUUCUGUCUCUCCAUCUUCUCCGUUGAUUCUCUGUCGUUUUUGAUAUCAAUCUUUCUCUCUGUCGAUUCAAUGAUGAUUUUCUUGAUGAUCUUGAGGAAGUGAACUCGUCUUGGAUUCUUGAGAAUAUGUGAGCUGGGUUUUGUUGAAUUAAGCUCUUGUGGAUGUGAUUUUGUGAAAACAUGGUUCUAGUGUAUUUUCUGAAUUGGGGGUUUUGGUUAUGUUUCUGGUUAAUCGAUAGCUUGAUCUGACCUAAGGAAAAAUUUUUCACCUUUGAGUAGCUGGUUCUUGACCUUUUUGAGAGAUUGAUUUGGUGCUUAGUUUUAAAGUCAUAGAAGCUUGAAUUGUUGGUUUUGCGGAAUUGAGUUCCUUCAAUUGAUCUAACCUGACAAGUAGUAGAAAAGGUUUCACCUUUGAGUAGCUGGGUUCAUGACUCUUUUGGUAGCUUGAUUUGGGUUGAAAGAUCGCUCACUGGGUUCAUGACUCUUUUGGUAGCUAGUUCAGAACUAUGGCUGAAAGUUCGCUCAUUGGGUUGAUAAAGCAAACGAGCCCGAGUUCAAGAAACAGAAACUCGAACAGCUCCAGAGAAAAAAACUUAUCACUCUGUUCUUCUUGCUUUCGAAGCAGAGACCUCGGGAACAUCAUCACGCGUAAUGCUUUCUCACUGUUCUUGUUCUUCUUCUCUUUUCCAUUUGAUUCAUGAGGUUAUAGUGUGCUCGUAUUCUUCUGGGAGGUUCUGUUAUAAUUCUCUCUACUCUCAUCUUCGUGUGUGUGUUAGAAACUAUUUGAUUCUAUGUUAAAUUCACACCAUUGGCAGGUUUCUAUUCUAGUACUCUCUGCUUGCAUCUUCUUGCGUAUAGAUAGAAACUGUUUUAUGAAACUCCACUAUUGAGAAGACAAUAGAAAGUACUACUAUAAGUUUUUGCAGUCAAGGAUUUCUGAUGUAAGCUAUGAAGAGCGGGAUGAUCCUGAUGGUGGAUUGAAACACAAAGGCUUAUCAGGUGACUCGUAGUGAGAUUCACUUUACAAUCUGUCUGCAGGUUUCUUCCUGUUCCAUUCGUCGAUACCAUCUGAUAAAACUUUUUUUUCUUUUUGAGAAAACCACGAGACUAUAGAGACGACUGCCUGAUCAAACUUAUCAUAACUCUUAGUUCAUUCACACUUUUGAUCAAACUUCAUGUCAUGUAUGCUUUUCUUUCAUCUUAUAAUAAAAUCAUUCAACUUUCUAAAAAAAAAAAAA